AUCGCUUCUCGGCCUUUUGGCUAAGAUCAAGUGUAGCAUCCCCUAUGUAUAUAUAUAACAAAUAUUAAAUACUUUCU
rnacentral:snRNA from 1 species